rnacentral:rRNA from 1 species
AGACGACGCUGGCGGCGUGCUUAAAACAUGCAAGUCGAACGGACUUCUCAUGAAGCUUGCGAUUGAGAAGUUAGUGGCGGACGGGUGAGUAACGCGUGGGCAACCUGCCCCUGAGCCCGGGAUAACAGUUCGAAAGGACUGCUAAGACCGGAUAUACUUGCGGGGGAAGCAUUUCACGUGCAAGGAAAGGGAACGCUCAGGGAUGGGCCCGCGUCCCAUUAGCUAGUUGGUGAGGUAACGGCCCACCAAGGCGACGAUGGGUAGCCGGCCUGAGAGGGUGAACGGCCACACUGGGACUGAGACACGGCCCAGACUCCUACGGGAGGCAGCAGUUGGGAAUCUUCGGCAAUGGGCGCAAGCCUGACCGAGCAACGCCGCGUGAGUGAUGAAGGUUUUCGGAUUGUAAAGCUCUGUCUUCCGGGACGAUAAUGACGGUACCGGAGGAGGAAGCCACGGCUAACUACGUG